rnacentral:rRNA from 1 species
GACGAACGCUGGCGGCGGGCCUAACACAUGCAAGUCGAACGAGUGGCGGACGGGUGAGUAAUGUCUGGGCAACUGCCCGAUGGAGGGGGAUAACUACUGGAAACGGUAGCUAAUACCGCAUACAAUCGGUUGCGCCCAGAUGGGAUUAGGUAGUGGGUGGGGUAACGGCUCACCUAGGCGACGAUCCCUAGCUGGUCUGAGAGGAGGACCGGCCACAUGGGAACUGAAACACGGUCCAGAGUCCUACGGGAGGCAGCAGUGGGGAAUAUUGCGCAAUGGGCGCAAGCCUGAUGCAGCCAUGCCGCGUGUGUGAAGAAGGCGUUCGGGUUGUAAAGUACUUUCAGCGGGGAGGCGGUACUCGCAGAAGAAGCACCGGCUAACUCCGUGCCAGCAGCCGCGGUAAUUC